UGCCCUAGUAACGGCGAGUGAAGCGGCAACAGCUCAAAUUUGAAAUCUGGCUCUUUUAGAGUCCGAGUUGUAAUUUGCAGAGGGCGCUUUGGCUUUGGCAGCGGUCCAAGUUCCUUGGAACAGGACGUCACAGAGGGUGAGAAUCCCGUACGUGGUCGCUGGCUAUUGCCGUGUAAAGCCCCUUCGACGAGUCGAGUUGUUUGGGAAUGCAGCUCUAAAUGGGAGGUACAUUUCUUCUAAAGCUAAAUAUUGGCCAGAGACCGAUAGCGCACAAGUAGAGUGAUCGAAAGAUGAAAAGCACUUUGGAAAGAGAGUCAAACAGCACGUGAAAUUGUUGAAAGGGAAGCGCUUGCAGCCAGACUUGCUUGCAGUUGCUCAUCCGGGCUUUUGCCCGGUGCACUCUUCUGUAGGCAGGCCAGCAUCAGUUUGGGCGGUGGGAUAAAGGUCUCUGUCACGUACCUCUCUUCGGGGAGGCCUUAUAGGGGAGACGACAUACCACCAGCCUGGACUGAGGUCCGCGCAUCUGCUAGGAUGCUGGCGUAAUGGCUGUAAGCGGCCCGUCUUGAAACACGGACCAAGGAGUCUAACAUCUAUGCGAGUGUUUGGGUGUCAAGCCCGAGCGCGUAAUGAAAGUGAACGGAGGUAGGAACCCGUAAGGGUGCACUAUCGACCGAUCCUGAUGUCUUCGGAAGGAUUUGAGUAAGAGCAUGGCUGUUGGGACCCGAAAGAUGGUGAACUAUGCUUGAAUAGGGUGAAGCCAGAGGAAACUCUGGUGGAGGCUCGCAGCGGUUCUGACGUGCAAAUCGAUCGUC
rnacentral:rRNA from 1 species